rnacentral:rRNA from 1 species
UACGUAGGAUGCAAGCGUUGUCCGGAUUUAUUGGGCGUAAAGAGCUCGUAGGCGGUUUGUCGCGUCUGCCGUGAAAGUCCGGGGCUCAACUCCGGAUCUGCGGUGGGUACGGGCAGACUAGAGUGAUGUAGGGGAGACUGGAAUUCCUGGUGUAGCGGUGAAAUGCGCAGAUAUCAGGAGGAACACCGAUGGCGAAGGCAGGUCUCUGGGCAUUAACUGACGCUGAGGAGCGAAAGCAUGGGGAGCGAACAGG